CGCGUGUGUAGAUUUUAAUUUGUGAGGUAUAAUUGUUAUAAAUCCUCAAAUAUGGUGAAGUUUCUAAUUCUUUGUGGUGUCUUUUCUCUAAUAAAUUAGGAUCAGCUAGUGCAACAAAAAGCUGCAAAAAUGCGUCUGAUAUUUGUUAGUUUUGUUAGUCCAUUAAAAAUAUAAUUGUUAAGUAUUAGUAUGGUUAGUAUUUGUUAAUUUCUAAAUCCAAAACCUAACACUAAUACACAUUAAAAUCUAGUAAUAUGAUACACAAUAACGGACGAAAUAAAAGAAGGCGUUAAAAGAGUGUUAAAAAUCCAAGAAAAAGGUCCAUGACAAGGGGCCUUUUUCUUUAUGUUCAUUUCGAAUUUCCUGUAGUGCAGUGGAGGUGAUUUCCGGAAGAUAGUGUGAUUCACGGGCAAAGUAUAUUCCGACGCUACAGCCGCCGUUCCGUUCUGUGGGCACAGCCGUGUUCGCAUUCCCACGUGGUCACGUGGAUCAGCCCUGUUCAUCGUCCGCUUGCAUUAGGCCGCCAUCUUCCAAUGCCCGCCGAAAUCCACAUAGCCCAACCAGGAUCGCUCGACGUUUCCGUCUUUCAACCGUCGUUGCAGUCGAUCAGCAAUUCCAAUCGUUCCUCGAUCCCUGAUCGGUCGAGACAAGUCGUCAUCGCUGUGUGCUGCCUAUGACGAUCAGCGAUUUCCUCGAUGCUAUCCGCCAUCACGAUUUCCUCGAAGCCACCAAACUGUCAGCUACCACCACCAGGAUCCGGAUCCCAACGAAACAAACCAAGCAAGUACCCCUAAUAUGUGACGUCACUCAAUAAAUAUGUAAAAUGUAAA